GUGACUGCGUACCUUUUGUAUAAUGGGUCAGCGACUUAUAUUCUGUAGCAAGGUUAACCGAAUAGGGGAGCCGAAGGGAAACCGAGUCUUAACUGGGCGUUAAGUUGCAGGGUAUAGACCCGAAACCCGGUGAUCUAGCCAUGGGCAGGUUGAAGGUUGGGUAACACUAACUGGAGGACCGAACCGACUAAUGUUGAAAAAUUAGCGGAUGACUUGUGGCUGGGGGUGAAAGGCCAAUCAAACCGGGAGAUAGCUGGUUCUCCCCGAAAGCUAUUUAGGUAGCGCCUCGUGAAUUCAUCUCCGGGGGUAGAGCACUGUUUCGGCAAGGGGGUCAUCCCGACUUACCAACCCGAUGCAAACUGCGAAUACCGGAGAAUGUUAUCACGGGAGACACACGGCGGGUGCUAACGUCCGUCGUGAAGAGGGAAACAACCCAGACCGCCAGCUAAGGUCCCAAAGUCAUGGUUAAGUGGGAAACGAUGUGGGAAGGCCCAGACAGCCAGGAUGUUGGCUUAGAAGCAGCCAUCAUUUAAAGAAAGCGUAAUAGCUCACUGGUCGAGUCGGCCUGCGCGGAAGAUGUAACGGGGCUAAACCAUGCACCGAAGCUGCGGCAGCGACGCUUAUGCGUUGUUGGGUAGGGGAGCGUUCUGUAAGCCUGUGAAGGUGUGCUGUGAGGCAUGCUGGAGGUAUCAGAAGUGCGAAUGCUGACAUAAGUAACGAUAAAGCGGGUGAAAAGCCCGCUCGCCGGAAGACCAAGGGUUCCUGUCCAACGUUAAUCGGGGCAGGGUGAGUCGACCCCUAAGGCGAGGCCGAAAGGCGUAGUCGAUGGGAAACAGGUUAAUAUUCCUGUACUUGGUGUUACUGCGAAGGGGGGACGGAGAAGGCUAUGUUGGCCGGGCGACGGUUGUCCCGGUUUAAGCGUGUAGGCUGGUUUUCCAGGCAAAUCCGGAAAAUCAAGGCUGAGGCGUGAUGACGAGGCACUACGGUGCUGAAGCAACAAAUGCCCUGCUUCCAGGAAAAGCCUCUAAGCAUCAGGUAACAUCAAAUCGUACCCCAAACCGACACAGGUGGUCAGGUAGAGAAUACCAAGGCGCUUGAGAGAACUCGGGUGAAGGAACUAGGCAAAAUGGUGCCGUAACUUCGGGAGAAGGCACGCUGAUAUGUAGGUGAAGUCCCUUGCGGAUGGAGCUGAAAUCAGUCGAAGAUACCAGCUGGCUGCAACUGUUUAUUAAAAACACAGCACUGUGCAAACACGAAAGUGGACGUAUACGGUGUGACGCCUGCCCGGUGCCGGAAGGUUAAUUGAUGGGGUCAGCGCAAGCGAAGCUCUUGAUCGAAGCCCCGGUAAACGGCGGCCGUAACUAUAACGGUCCUAAGGUAGCGAAAUUCCUUGUCGGGUAAGUUCCGACCUGCACGAAUGGCGUAAUGAUGGCCAGGCUGUCUCCACCCGAGACUCAGUGAAAUUGAACUCGCUGUGAAGAUGCAGUGUACCCGCGGCAAGACGGAAAGACCCCGUGAACCUUUACUAUAGCUUGACACUGAACAUUGAGCCUUGAUGUGUAGGAUAGGUGGGAGGCUUUGAAGUGUGGACGCCAGUCUGCAUGGAGCCGACCUUGAAAUACCACCCUUUAAUGUUUGAUGUUCUAACGUGGACCCGUAAUCCGGGUUGCGGACAGUGUCUGGUGGGUAGUUUGACUGGGGCGGUCUCCUCCUAAAGAGUAACGGAGGAGCACGAAGGUUGGCUAAUCCUGGUCGGACAUCAGGAGGUUAGUGCAAUGGCAUAAGC
rnacentral:rRNA from 1 species